rnacentral:misc_RNA from 1 species
AAAAAAAAAGGCAAUACACUCAAAUCUUAAUCAAUUUUCAUACACUAGUAUGAAUUUACGUCAUUCAAUAUAAUAACUUAAAUAAAUCAACAUUACAGAGUCCUUUCUAGUUUCUACAAAUCUGUCUCUGUAUUCACUGAUUAGUCUUCUGAAAUCAAAUCAAACUUUUCUCUCACCCCACCAACCGUCAAGAACCUUGUAUGAAUUCGAAUCAAAAUUCAAAAUUUUCACAUCAUACCUUCUUCUUGAGGUAAAUAAUUGAUAAACACUUUUUGCAGUAUAUAACGAAGCAAACCUUGAUUAUUGAAGAACGAAAUUCAAAACCCAGGAACGAAGGAGUAAAUUGAACACUUAC